rnacentral:tRNA from 1 species
UAUAAUAUAGGCUAAAUAAAAGCUUUUGGGCUCAUAACUUAAAGAUUCAUAUUAUAAUGAUAUUAUUA